AUGAAGGUUUUGGCUCUAGGCACAUAUGAUGCUAUUUUGGGAAUGGAUUGGCUCGAAGCUCAUAGCCCCAUGACAGUUGACUGGCGCGCCAAAUGUAUUCAGUUCAUGACAGUGGCGGGAGUGGCCUGUCUGCGCGGCCAUGAUUCUGACUCCACUACGUGCCACUCCAUCAAUUUCGUGCAGCUUCAGAGCAUGUGCAAAGCAGGGGUUGUGUCGCAUAUUGUGUACCUGUGCUCUGAAGAUCAGUCAUCAGACAAGAAAGAGGCUGUCCCAGCUUGCCUCCAGGAAGUACUGGCAGAGUUUCCAACUGUGUUUGGUGAACCAGAAGGGCUGCCACCGAGGCGCGAAUGCGAUCAUCGCAUUCCCCUAAUUCCUGGUGCGCAACCUAUCAACAUUCGUCCUUACCGUCAUAAACUUGAUCAUAAGGAUGAAAUCGAUCGUCAGGUGGAGGAACUCUUGAAGGCAGGUAUUAUUCAGAAGAGUUCCAGUCCGUUCUCCUCACCGGUGAUUCUAGUUAAGAAGAAGGACGGAACGUGGCGUCUAUGUGUGGAUUAUCGCCACCUUAACGCACUGACAGUAGUGGGAAAGUAUCCAGUGCCAGUCAUAGAGGAGUUGUUGGAUGAAUUGCAUGGCUCCCGCUGGUUUUCUAAGCUUGAUCUCAGAGCAGGGUACCACCAAAUUAGGUUGGCUGAAGGAGAAGAAUACAAGACAACAUUUCAGACUCACGCAUGCCAUUAUGAGUUCCUCGUGGUUUCAUUUGGAUUGGCCGGAGGCCCUGGUACAUUCAACGGAGCAAUGCAUGGCACGUUGCGACCUGUCCUGCGUGAUGGAGUCCUGGUUUUCUUCGAUGAUAUCCUAGUGCACAUGAAAACUCUGGAAGAGCACAAGCUGAAACUCAGAGAGGUCUUGGGUCUCUUGCAGAAGGACCAGUGGAGAGUCAAGGAAAGCAAGUGCGCUUUUGGACAGCAACAGCUCUCUUAUUUAGGGCAUGUCAUCAGCGCAGGAGGGGUGUCAACGGACCCGAGCAAGGUACAUGCAGUGGUGGAGUGGGAAACACCAAGUGACACCACAGAAGUGCGCCGUUUCUUGGGCUUAGCCGGCUAUUACCGCAGAUUUUUCAGGAAUUUUGGAGUGAUUGCGCGGCCACUAUUCAACUUACUCAAGAAAGGAGUCCCGUUCGUUUGGACGAGCACAAUUCAAACUGCAUUUCAAACUCUCAAGGAUCAGUUGGUUUCUGCCCCAGUCUUGGCCUUGCCCGACUUCUCUCAACCCUUCAUCGUGGAAACUGACACUAGCGACAAGGGCAUCGGCGCAAUGUUACAGCAGAAUGGGCAUCCAUUGGCUUUCAUGAGCAAAGCCCUAAGCCCUCGCUAUCAAGGCCUCUCAACCUAUGAAAAGGAGUAUCUAGCAAUCAUAGUGGCAGUGGAUCAGUGGAGGCCUUACCUCCAGCACGCUGAGUUUGUAAUUCACACAGAUCAGAGAAGUUUGGUGCACCUGGAAGAGCAACGCCUCACCACCCCAUGGCAGCGAAAGGCAUUCACCAAGCUCCUCGGGCUCCAGUACUGCAUCAAGUACAAAAAAGGAACGGACAACUCAGCUGCAGAUGCCUUAUCGUGUGCCCAACCCACUGAUGUCCUCUUUGCAAUGUCGGAGUGUCAACCAACAUGA
rnacentral:rRNA from 1 species